ACAGCGACCACUGGAGGGUACCAUUUCGGGGUGGUUUUGGGGUAAUUUGGGGCUAUUUUGGGUUCUCUCUGGGUGCCACCCAUAGGAGAAGCAGGACAAAGUGGUUUUGGGGCGUUUUGGGGUGGUUUUGGUGUGUUUUGGGGGUGGUUUUGGUGUGGUUUUGAGCUCUGACCAUGUAUCCCAUAGGAGAAGCAGGACAAGGUGGUUUUGGGGUGUUUUGGGGGCUGUUUUGG